CAGCAGCCGCGGUAAUACGUAGGGUGCAAGCGUUAAUCGGAAUUACUGGGCGUAAAGCGUGCGCAGGCGGUUGUGCAAGACCGAUGUGAAAUCCCCGGGCUUAACCUGGGAAUGGCAUUGGUGACUGUACGGCUAGAGUGUGUCAGAGGGGGGUAGAAUUCCACGUGUAGCAGUGAAAUGCGUAGAGAUGUGGAGGAAUACCGAUGGCGAAGGCAGCCCCCUGGGAUAACACUGACGCUCAUGCACGAAAGCGUGGGGAGCAAACAGGAUUAGAUACCCUGGUAGUCCACGCCCUAAACGAUGUCUACUAGUUGUCGGGUCUUCAUUGACUUGGUAACGCAGCUAACGCGUGAAGUAGACCUCCUGGGGAGUACGGUCGCAAGAUUAAAACUCAAAGGAAUUGACGG
rnacentral:rRNA from 1 species